rnacentral:rRNA from 1 species
CAGUCGAACGGAGCACCCCUGAAGGAGUUUUCGGACAACUGAUGGGAAUGCUUAGUGGCGGACGGGUGAGUAACGCGUGAGCAACCUGCCUUGGAGUGGGGAAUAACAGCUGGAAACAGCUGCUAAUACCGCAUAAUAUGUCUGAACCGCAUGGCUCUGGACAUUAAAGAUUUAUCGCUCUGAGAUGGACUCGCGUCUGAUUAGCUAGUUGGUGGGGCAACGGCCCACCAAGGCAACGAUCAGUAGCCGGACUGAGAGGUUGGCCGGCCACAUUGGGACUGAGACACGGCCCAGACUCCUACGGGAGGCAGCAGUGGGGAAUAUUGGGCAAUGGGCGCAAGCCUGACCCAGCAACGCCGCGUGAAGGAAGAAGGCUUUCGGGUUGUAAACUUCUUUUCUCAGGGACGAAGCAAGUGACGGUACCUGAGGAAUAAGCCACGGCUAACUACGUGCCAGCAGCCGCGGUAAUACGUAGGUGGCAAGCGUUAUCCGGAUUUACUGGGUGUAAAGGGCGUGUAGGCGGGAAAGCAAGUCAGAUGUGAAAACCAUGGGCUCAACCUGUGGCCUGCAUUUGAAACUGUUUUUCUUGAGUACUGGAGAGGCAGACGGAAUUCCUAGUGUAGCGGUGAAAUGCGUAGAUAUUAGGAGGAACACCAGUGGCGAAGGCGGUCUGCUGGACAGCAACUGACGCUGA